rnacentral:rRNA from 1 species
UACGAAGGGGGCUAGCGUUGUUCGGAAUUACUGGGCGUAAAGCGCACGUAGGCGGAUAUUUAAGUCAGGGGUGAAAUCCCGGGGCUCAACCCCGGAACUGCCUUUGAUACUGGGUAUCUUGAGUCCGGGAGAGGUGAGUGGAACUGCGAGUGUAGAGGUGAAAUUCGUAGAUAUUUGCUAGAACACCAGUGGCGAAGGCGGCCAACUGGACCAUAACUGACGCUGAGGUGCGAAAGCGUGGGGAGCAAACAGG